AUUGAACGCUGGCGGCAGGCCUAACACAUGCAAGUCGAACGAGUGGCGGACGGGUGAGUAAUGUCUGGGAAACUGCCUGAUGGAGGGGGAUCACUACUGGAAACGGUCGCUAAUCCCGCAUACUAUCGGAUGCGCCCAGAUGGGCUUAGCUUGUAGGGGGGGGAACGGCUCACCUAGGCGACGAUCCCUAGCUGGUCUGAGAGGAUGACCAGCCACACGGGAACUGAGACACGGUCCAGACUCCUACGGUAGGCAGCAGUGGGGAAUAUUGCACAAUGGGCGCAAGCCUGAUGCAGCCCUGCCGCGUGUAUGAAGAAGGCCUUCGGGUUGUAAAGUACUUUCAGCGGGGAGGCGUUACCCGCAGAAGAAGCACCGGCUAACUCCGUGCCAGCAGCCGCGGUAAUAC
rnacentral:rRNA from 1 species